GAUAAAUGAUAUCAUAUAAUAAUUUGUCUUUCUUUGGCUUACUUCACUUACUGUGAUCAUCUCUAGGUCCAUCCGUUGAUGUUGCUGCACGUGGCAUUUUUUCAUUAUUCUUAUGGCUGAGUAAAUACUCCGCUGUCUGUAUCUCUGUGUAUGUACACAUACCCCCCACGUCCUUAUGCGUUCAUCCGUCAAGGGAUAGGUCGCUUCCAUGUCUUGAUUCCGUGCUCUGGUUGCACAGGUCGCUUCCAUGUCCUGAUUCCGUGCUCUGGUUGCACAGGUCGCUUCCAUGUCCUGAUUCCGUGCUCUGGUUGCACAGGUCGCUUCCAUGUCCUGAUUCCGUGCUCUGGUUGCACAGGUCGCUUCCAUGUCCUGAUUCCGUG
ensembl:lncRNA